GGUGGUCAUAGCGUGAGGGUCCCACCUCUUCCCAUUCCGAACAGAGAAGUUAAGCCUCACCACGCCGAUGGUACUGGGAGAGUAGGUAACCGCCCCCUAA
rnacentral:rRNA from 1 species